rnacentral:rRNA from 1 species
UGAGCAAUCUGCCCUUCUCAUCGGAAUAAGCGUUGGAAACGACGUCUAAUGCCGAAUACGACCUCCUUUCGCAUGAUCGGAGGUGGAAAGCUCCGGCGGAGAAGGAUGAGCUCGCGGCCUAUCAGCUAGUUGGUGAGGUAACGGCCCACCAAGGCGACGACGGGUAGCCGGCCUGAGAGGGUGACCGGCCACACUGGGACUGAGACACGGCCCAGACCCUACGGGAGGCAGCAGG